ensembl:lncRNA
AGAGAGAAAAGAAUGGGUAGAGGACAGGAGGGAGACGAAAGAGAAGAGAGAUGGGUAGAGGACAGGAGGGAGACGAAAGAGAAGAGAGAUGGGUAGAGGACAGGAGGGAGACGAAAGAGAAGAGAGAUGGGUAGAGGACAGGAGGGAGACGAAAGAGAAGAGAGAUGGGUAGAGGACAGGAGGGAGACGAAAGAGAAGAGAGAUGGGUAGAGGACAGGAGGGAGACGAAAGAGAAGAGAGAUGGGUAGAGGACAGGAGGGAGACGAAAGAGAAGAGAGAUGGGUAGAGGGCAAGAUUCAUCCGUGGGCCGGUCGUCUGAGCAGAUGGUCGAGGGGCCGAAACGUUAUUAUAAUAAUAACAAAAAUGUGUACCCAGUAGACUGUCCCCCCCCCAGUAAGACCGAGAAGAGACCGUCCCCAGUAAGGCAGAGAAGAGACCGUCCCCCAGUAAGGCAGAGAAGAGACCGUCCCCCAGUAAGGCAGAGAAGAGACCGUCCCCCAGUAAGGCAGAGAAGAGACCGUCCCCCCAUAAGACAGAGAAGAGACCGUCCCCCAGUAAGACAGAGAAGAGACCGUCCCCCAGUAAGACAGAGAAGAGACCGUCCCCCAGA